GGUCUUUUUUAGGUUGCAUUGAACAAAUCACCGGAUAACACAGCAGAUAAUUCUAACAGAGUAUUUUACAUUCAUGAAAGCAGCGUCAGCAGCACCUCAGCAGCACUCAGUCAACACAGGUUAAAUAGUAUUUGUGUAAUUCGUAUUGACAUCCAUCGUCCCAACAUAAGCGAAAGUCAUAGUAAAUACAGAUAUUUCCUCAUAUUGUCAAUAAUCACCCCAGCAUCAGCAGAAUUGAUAGUAAAUACUGGCAUUUCAUUAUAUUACCUUCCAUCAUCCCAUCAUCAGCAGGAGUCAUAAUUUAUACUGGACUGCCAUCCAUCGUCUUAGCAUCAGCAAAAUCAUAGUGAAUACAGGGGAGUAUUAUGUUUUUUUUUUUCAAAAUUUAUUUAU